UACGGAGGGUGCGAGCGUUAUCCGGAAUCACUGGGCGUAAAGGGCACGUAGGCGGUUUGUUAAGUCUGAUGUUAAAGACUGGGGCUCAACCCCGGCAAUGGCGUUGGAUACUGGCAGGCUUGACGGUUGGAGAGGCGAGUGGAAUUGCCAGUGUAGCGGUGGAAUGCGUAGAUACUGGUAGGAACACCUAUUGCGAAGGCAGCUCGCUGGACAACACGUGACACUGAGGCGCGAAAGUGUGGGGAGCAAACCGGAUUAGAUACCCCGGUA
rnacentral:rRNA from 1 species